UACGUAGGGUGCGAGCGUUGCCCGGAUUUAUUGGGCGUAAAGGGCGCGUAGGCGGCCACGCACGUCCGUUGUGAAAUCGCCCGGCUCAACUGGGCGGGGUCAGCGGAUACGGCGUGGCUGGAGCAAGCUAGGGGGCAAUGGAAUUCCCGGUGUAGUGGUGGAAUGCGUAGAUAUCGGGAGGAACACCAGUGGCGAAGGCGGUUGCCUGGAGCUUUGCUGACGCUGAUGCGCGAAAGCGUGGGGAGCGAUCCGG
rnacentral:rRNA from 1 species